rnacentral:rRNA from 1 species
AUGAACGCUGGCGGCGUGGAUAAGGCAUGCAAGUCGAACGGCAGCGCGGGAGCUUGCUCCUGGCGGCGAGUGGCGAACGGGUGAGUAAUACAUCGGAACGUACCCAGAAGUGGGGGAUAACGUAGCGAAAGUUACGCUAAUACCGCAUAUUCUGUGAGCAGGAAAGUGGGGGAUCGCAAGACCUCACGCUUUUGGAGCGGCCGAUGUCGGAUUAGCUAGUUGGUGAGGUAAAGGCUCACCAAGGCGACGAUCCGUAGCGGGUCUGAGAGGAUGAUCCGCCACACUGGGACGGAGACACGGCCCAGACUCCUACGGGAGGCAGCAGUGGGGAAUUUUGGACAAUGGGGGCAACCCUGAUCCAGCCAUGCCGCGUGAGUGAAGAAGGCCUUCGGGUUGUAAAGCUCUUUCGCGAGGGAAGAAAGCGCACUGGUUAAUACCUGGUGUGGAUGACGGUACCUUGAUAAGAAGCACCGGCUAACUACGUGCCAGCCGCCGCCGUAA